UGCAAAAAUAUUUAAUAAAUUUCAACUGGUAUUCUAUUGUUUAACAGUGCGAUUAAGCGCAAUUAAUUUUUUUGAGUUAAUCCUGUGAGUUAACUGCGAUUAAUUGACAGCCCUAAUUAAAAUCCACUAAUUUGCACUGCUUAUAGAAUUCUCACAUGCCCUAGACUUUAGUAUGAAUUAGGACAUUUAUGCAAUAUUAAACAGUGUACAUUUUAAAACUAUUAAGAGCUGGUUGGAUUAAAAACCUGGGCAAUUGGAUGUCAUCAAAGACCAAAGAUGAGAGUCCCUAUCUUAACCAAUGACCUAACAUACUUCCUGGAAAUUGUCACAAUUGGCCUUGAAUCUCACUCUUUACGGAUGUAAAUUUAACUCUUAAGGACAGCCAACCCUUGGCAUCUUUCCCUGGCAGAGCCUUCCAGGCCAGAUAUGCCCGCCAUCAUUGCAUCUCAGUCCCAUCCAGUUGGCACCCCACUAACCAUGAGGCCACUAAUGGUUCCUGCCAUUCGGGGCAAGGCGCACACAAGGGAAGGAAGGGGGUGAUAGGAACAGGGCAGGGGAGAAGAGGGUAACAAUGGCAGAUGUGGAGUGACACUGAGGUGAAAGAGACUGUGAGGGAGGGGGAGAGUUGGAGCAAACAGCUAAUCAGUACAGGGGAAAGAAAUCCAGUUAAAACUGAAGAAAGUUCUGCAAAUAUCCAGAAGUCCCUGUUUUGGCUGCUACUAGUCCUACGCAUCUCUGAUUUACACUUGUUUUACGCUGGUGUAACCCCAUUUACUUCAAUGGAGAUAACUCCUAUUCAUACUGGUGCGAGUGAAAAGAGAAUCAAGUCACUUUUGUACUCAGGAUAAAACACAUCAGAACUUCGGAUAACCAGGAGUUACAGAUAACUGGUGUUCAGAUUAUCAAAGUUGGACUCCUCCACAUUAAAUUGUGUUUUGCUUUUAAGGGACAGGGUAAUUAAGCUUCCCACCCCUCCAAAUCUUAAAAUGUAUAAUAAAUUGAUCUCUCUUGGACUACCCCAGCCAGUGAGCAUGCAUAAUCAUAUAUAUUAGUAGGAUCAGACCCACUGAAGUGCUCGUCACCUCCAAGAACAGGUUCCAAAUAAGAGCACCAAGCCACUGACGUUGCUUCAUAGCAUUAUUCCUAUAUUUAGCACACCCACAAGAGUUACCUUUAGAAAUGUAGUAGAGCGGAUCCCAUGCAAGACAGACCUCAACAUGAAUAUUUUUCAUCCUUUUUCAGUUCUGCUAUUUGAUCUGUAGGUCACAUUGGGCAGUUAUCCAUGAUUAGAAUCCACUGGGUUUGAAAUGAUAAUAAGAGCAAUCAAUAGUACACUUCCAAAUUCAUGAAUUAAAUAAAUUAAAUUAAAGUGAUGAAAUUGUGCAAGAUUGGAAACAAAUACAAAUAUAACAUAUUUUAGAAUUUUUAAAUGUGUAUAUCUUCCAUAUUAUAUAAGAACCAAAUUUCCUUCUCAAAGUUUUAAAAAACAUUGUGACUACUAGAUAUUGUAGUCAUAAUAACCAUAAUAAAUUUAUAAUUCUGUAGUCCCAUGCAACCAAGGAUCUCAAAACAUUUAAAAGCAGUGAAUGAAGUCUCAUAACUAUCCUGUGAGGUAGAUAAAUAUGAUUAUGUCAGUUUUGCAGAAGGAGAAAAGAGGUGAGAGGUUUUUCGCAGGAGUGGGUGGGUGAGAUUCUGUGGCCUGCGUUGUGCAGGAGGUCAGACUAGAUGAUUAUAAUGGUCCCUUCUGACCUUAAUAGCUACAAAUCUAUGAAUCUAUGAUUAGUGUGACUGAAUUUGAGAAAACUAUAACACAGUGUGCAACCACACUAGCCAUCUAUUUGCAGUACACUCAAUGCAUCAUAAUCCACAGCAUUCUCCGAAAGUGUCACAGGGGGUGUGAAUUGUUGCAUCUAACUCACAUAGGUGCUGGGACUAUGGGUACUUGAAGUGGUUUCCAUUAUAUACAGAGUUUACAAUUUUGUUCAAUGGCUCUCAGCACCCCCACUAUAAAAAGCUUCUAAGAGUCAGUGCAUAAUAUCUGUGGUCUAUUAUUUGCAGUUCUCACGUUUUUGGUUCCUUCCAAUGCAUGAUUCUGUCCAGCCAAGGAUCCACACAUGCACCCAAAAGAACAAGAAAUAAGCCCUAGUAUGAUCUCAUGCUGCCAAUAUAGAUGCCAUGGCAGAGAGUCACCAACCUCUCUCUGAAGCCCUCAACUUUGGGCCUGGAAACCCAAAUUAUUAUGAAGAGCUCAAGGAGGGUUUGCUGCAGAAACUGCCUCUGAGGAGACUGGAUCAAACUUUCGUGACACAGAAGGCAUAAAAGGGCUGCACACCCUAUCGGGAGCUGUCCGUCUGAGAGGCAGCUAGUGACUAUCACAUUUGCGCGGGCAUCGAGGACUUCCUUCCCACCGAUCUGGGUAUCUUCCACCUGAAUCCACUUACCUUGUUCCUGGUUCCAGUGAUUGCCAACACCAGUGGUCUCCUAGUUCCUGGUUCCAACACAGUGAAGGCCCUGAGCUCCAAAAAUAACCCAGGGUUUACUUAUUUUUUAUGGCGCAGGCGUAAUGUACUAGGUAUUGUACAAAACAUAGAGAAAAACAGGGUCCCUACAUUCAGGAGCUUACAUAUUAAUUAGUCAAAUAAUGCUGAACAAAAGCAUAAUACACCGGUUAAUCAGUAAGUAGCCUCAUCAGAGAGCAAUGCACAUAUCUUUUUUUUUAAUAUGCAUAUUUGUCUUCAUUGGACUAACAUUGACAAGAGUCAUGAAAGACAUUUCAAAUGACAUUCUGCACAAGAAAGUUAUUUGCAUACUCAAUUGGGUCAAGGAAACAAUAAUGAACCUUUAGGAAUAUUUAUAAUUUUAUUUUAGUUACAGCAUUUGUCACUUUGGGUGAUUUAUGGUGCUAAUAGGAUGAUAGGGUCCAAAGUGUCUGUCAACUGUAAAAGGCCUCCAUUAAAUGCAAGGCUUAAAGCAAUGUCAUUUUUAUGAUCUCUUGGAGAGUGCUCGGGCUAGAUUUAUGCAUGAAUUUAGUACUGGAUUGAAAGUCCUGGAGAAUGACGGUCCUUUUUUUAUCCAGUGAACAGGUGCAGUGACCUGCACUGGCUCAUUAUUGUGCUUCCUCUCUGACCCAAGGGGACAAAUUGUUCAAGCAAGCUUGCAGCUUACUUUUCAGGUACACUUAUUCUUUGCUGCAGUUUUCAACAAGGGUGCCAAUUAGUCCCAUAUGGGAUGAUAUUUUUUGGAGAUUCAGACACCUGUCCAGUGGGAACAAGCCCACCUAACAGUCGUCAGACAGAGAAAACUUCAGGUUACUCACAGCUUGGACUGGAUUUGAAAAGGAGACAUAAAGCUAAAGGGCUCCAGAACCCAUUAACAAUCCCCUAAGUCAUUCAUUCCCACUGAGGGCUCCUCUUUUGAAGUUUCCAGUGGCACUCAUAUGACCUCUGUUUAUCCCCUCUCGUAAAAACUCUUAUCUGUCUAACACAGACCUGGCCACUUUUCCUAGUAGUGCUCAAAACAGUUAUUACAAUGUAAACAAACUGUGCAUGCUGGUGCUCAUUCUCAAUUCCCUUAUCAACUGAACAGCAUGCUCCUCAUGCACAUAUUGGGUCAAAUUUACCCGUCAUCUAACUCCAGGGAUUUCAGGGAAGAUAUCCCUGGGCUCAUUUGCUCACUCACCUCCUGAGCAUACAUAAAAUGUAACAACGGUAUUGUAAACCACAUGUCUAUGUGGCCCUUCAGUUCAGACUACAAGGGUGUGAAAAGCAGCACACAUUAACGUGCUAUAAUUUAGGUACAAACUAAAAGAUAGCUAGUUCACAUUAACAUAGUCCUCUUGAAACAGGACUAUGUGACUUUUAAUGUGUCCACAUGUGGUAGUUACAGUGCAGCACACAAGUGCACACUGUAGUUCACACCCCUGUAGUCUAUACUGUGGGGCUGUCGUCUAGACAUAGAAAUAGAAUUCCCCAUUGAUCUGAUGUGUCCUUGCUUUGAUGAACCUUGCUAUCCAUCUUAGACAUUUUAAGGAGCUAUCACCUUAGUGGUAUCUAAGCACCACUACAUGCAGCUCUCUGAUUGCUGAGGGAUCCCGACUGGCUGGAGGCUAGUUGUCUCACUUCCAUUUUGGAAUGUUCCAUUUUAAACAAGGUAAACAAAAUAAUGGAAUCUCAAAGUACUGGGAGGUUAGAAAUAGCUGGUUAACAGCUUUGUUGAAAUACAUUGGUAAUGAUAUAUGGUGUGAAGGGCAGAAUGUAAUACUAAAUGGGAACAAACUCACCCCAUACUAAAGUCAGGAGACUGUAUAAAUCAAAACAUUAGGGACUAAAGUUGAGACCUAAACUCCCCAGUAGAAGGACUUUUGUAUGGCUUCUUGCCAGCCAGGGGAAAGGUGCCUGCCCAGCUAAGAUGCUAGAAGAGAGGUUAGUUAAAGCUACUGGAAGGGCUAUACCAAAGGAACCACCUGCUCCAGCAGAUGUAGACCAGAGCCCAGUCUGCUAAUAGUAAGCAGGGGGGAAAGUUCUUCUUGCUACUGACACCAUAUGUCAUAGAGACCAACUCUCUGGGUUGUCUUUAUAAAAAAAAAACAGGUGCUAACUAUAAAUUAUAAGGAUCUUAUCCUACUAUAAAGUGAUGAUCACUGUCACUUCCUGAACUACACUACUUCUUCAGCAGUUGCCUUUUUUUUUUUUUUUAAAUCCUGCUUCUUGUGCCUCAGCUUCCCAUUUGUUAUCCUGCUGCACAUGUGCUUCCAGCCGGGCUUGGCUAAUCUGGCCCAUGCAGUCAUUAGUAGCCUGGCAACCAUCUACGGUAGCUUUUACACAGAAGUAAUGUUUUUGCUAUUUUAUCUUUUAGACAGAAAGCUGAAGGAUUAAAAAAAGAAAACAAAAGCCUGGCCUGCCUUUCAUAUUACAUUCACCUUUUUCACUCACAAACUAACCCCACAAAACAAGGAGAACUGAAUGUGGUAGAACAAAGGUCCCCAUCCACUGAUUCUAGUAGCUAUGUUACAACAUCCCCAUUGCUGGGCACCUCCAUGUAACUAAAAUCCCUAGGGCUAAAUUCAUCCCUCGUUAUUAACUUCAAGUGAGCUAAACCAAGAAUAAAUCUGACCAGUAUAACAAAGUCUCAGGGUACAUUAGGAAUCAAGUAGAGAUAGUCAGAGACUGUUUUGUUUUUUCACAAAAACAAUUGAUUGUUUCUUGUUGAAAAACCAAGCACAUUUUGGCUGAAAACCAAAAAUUUGGGUUUAAUUUUUUAACAUGAAGUGCUUUCAGCAUAACAUUUUGUUUAGUCAAAAACCCACUUUUCCAUUGAAAAAUAGUUUAUAUAGAAAAUGUUUGUCCAGCUCUUGUACUGAGUGAAGUCUGAGAUGGAGUCUUUAGUAGCAGUGUCUGUUUCACACUCCUGGCUAGGAACACAGAUUAAGGGUUUGUAAGCAUUACAACAAACAAUGAAUACAUGACUACAAUUAGGUGGGGGGGGUGGAAUCAAGUAGUACAUAUAAUCAUAAAAAAUAACAUAAAAUCGGUCUGUUAUUCUAGCAGAAGGGGGUUCUCUAGUUCAUGGUAUGGGUGCCAGAACCCUUAAACUUCAGUUGUUCUCUCAGCCAUACCACUUUAAAGACAACGAACUGUCUUAUACAAGAAGUGUAUCAUGAGAAGUCCCUGUAUUCUCACAGAGAUUUAAGCUUUAAGUCUGCUAACACUUAUGCAUGUGCUUAACUUUACAUACUAUUAGUUCCACUGAAGUCAAUGGUUUUUAUCAAGUGCCUGUCAUGCUGGUAUCUGAGCAUGUAUUAUUAAUAAUUUUUAUAUUUAAUUUGCUAAAAGCCUCCAUUAAAAAUGUUUGGAGGUCCUUGGAUGGACUGUGUCACAGACAUGCAAUGUGCUUUUAUUAAAUGACACUGUCAGAGCUUUUCUGGUUUAUUAGGUACCUGUCACAGAGACACCUUCUCAUUAGGCUGGAACAGAACAGCUCCCGGCAGGAUGAUACAGCCUGUUUAUGAUUAGUCUUAAAUUUAUAUCAGCUUACCAUUCAUCUAUUUGAUACUACCUUUGAAUCAUAAUUUAAUGACCUUAUCUUGAAUGUUCUCUGAUACAGUGUCUCAAUCUCUCUUUUUUAUAUCUUUGUGUAGUUUCUUUUUUUUGUCAUGGAACAGAAGGAUGGAUGAAUUGUUCCAGUGUCCAUUAAAAUUUCCAUUGGCUGCUGUGCAGUGUCUUCUAGGGAGGAAAUGAACCUGCUGCAAAUGAAAUCAGUUGAGGCUGCAGUGUAUUUACAGAGAAGCAGAAAUCUUUGUAGAUUAUUUUUUCCAAGAAUCAUGAAUCUCCUUCAGUGUUACAAGUCACUGUAAUCAAUUAAUAGGAGUAAUAUUUUCAUUUUCAAUUAAAAUACAGGCCAUGCACAGUCUAUGUGCAUCUUAGCAGAUGUUUAAAAGCAUUGGCUCUCAGAGGUGAAAUGUUACUUUAUUUCUGAUUGGGGUGGUCAGAGGGUGUUUCAGGAGCAGAAAGACGUUAAAGUGCAGCACUUCAGACUGUCUUCUUUUCUGAAUUUACAGCAUUAGACUGGCAGCUGUAUAAAUGAAUAAUAGACUGCAAUGUUAUUUUCCAAGCAGGCUAUGAAAUGAGGGAGCCUUCAGUUUUGUGCUGAUGCGUCCAGAAUUCAAAUAAUUUGUUUCUUGAUAUAAUGACAAUCGGAAGCACGGUAUUACCUUGAGAAAAGAGAUGGAGAGACAGCUGCAGUACCCUGUACUCGUGAAAGAUAUUGCAUUAGCAACUGCUUCCCAAUUACUCUCUCCACUGAAAACUCUAUUAUGCUGGGCUCUUAUUGCCUUUAUUCAAGGGCACAAAAUUAAAAAGUGAUAUUGCUGGCACUAUUCUCAUCUUCCUACCAUGACAUUGAAUAAUUGGACAAUGAAAGAAAAUGUUGAAUGAUGCUGAUAUUAAACACAUCUAAAGGACAAUGCAUUUGAACAUCAGCUGAUGAAGUAAUGUCCAGAUUAUUAUGCAUUCCCUUCUACUACUUUAAAAUAAAUUGUUUUUAUUUUU